GACGAGCGCUGGCGGCGUGCUUAACACAUGCAAGUCGAACGGAAAGGCCCUGCUUUUGCGGGGUGCUCGAGUGGCGAACGGGUGAGUAACACGUGAGUAACCUGCCCUUGACUUUGGGAUAACUUCAGGAAACUGGGGCUAAUACCGGAUAGGAGCUCCUGCUGCAUGGUGGGGGUUGGAAAGUUUCGGCGGUUGGGGAUGGACUCGCGGCUUAUCAGCUUGUUGGUGGGGUAGUGGCUUACCAAGGCUUUGACGGGUAGCCGGCCUGAGAGGGUGACCGGCCACAUUGGGACUGAGAUACGGCCCAGACUCCUACGGGAGGCAGCAGUGGGGAAUAUUGCACAAUGGGCGGAAGCCUGAUGCAGCAACGCCGCGUGCGGGAUGACGGCCUUCGGGUUGUAAACCGCUUUCGCCUGUGACGAAGCGUGAGUGACGGUAAUGGGUAAAGAAGCACCGGCUAACUACGUG
rnacentral:rRNA from 1 species